GAAAACCGGGAGACUUGCCCAGGUGGGAGAGUUGAACCACCUUUCAAAAUUGUAUUUGAAUUUAGCUCGAACGAAACGUCAAAGCGUUCAUUGGUCGCACUCAAGAGGCCAAUCAUAAGUAUGCAGCCGUUUUGCAUCUUAGUGGUGUGGUUCGUCAGUGACAAUGUAAAAAGUGUUUUUGUUGCUGCGGAGUGUAUUUUCUUGUUUUAAGUAGUUUUGUGAUUGCUGUCAUAUUUAUUGAAUGCCAACUUGUACGAUGCCUUUUCAAUACAAGCCUCCUGAAAGUGCUCGCAAAUGAAAAAAACUCACAAAAAUGGAAUUGCAAAAUGCCAAAGAUGAAAUUAAGGGAGGCGCUUCUAUUCGACAAACUUCAAAUAAAUAUGGCAUAGAUAGAACUACUUUGAGGCGAUAUAAAUUAGAUGAAGACAAAAUUAAUAAAUAACAAUGUCAGGUUUCGGCCCACCCAAUCAACUUUUAAAACUAAAUUCUCACGGACACAAAGUUCUUUACUACAAAAAUUUAAAUAUAAAAUACUAACUUCUUAUAAAAUAUUUAAUUGUU
rnacentral:lncRNA from 1 species